GCCAGCACAAACAGCCCCCACCAAGCAACCAAACCUAACACCCCUUCUCCUCCCACUGUUUCCAUGCUCACUUGAGCUGUAUUUCCUGUAUACAUUUGUUAUGUUAUCAAGAGGCCAUGGCAAUGUAAUGCCAUAUAACAAGACAAAAUUAAAACACUUUACAUUCCUUUUAUUACUCGCUUGUCUUGUGCCAGCUCAGUAAGGGUACUGUAAGUGGGAGAGAGGGAACACACAUUUCUAAAGGCAGGCUUCGUAACUUAGAAAUGAUAGCAGCUGCUAAAAUACAGAGCUGUUCCAUGGAGAAACAGGUACAAUAACAAACUGCGCUGUGCUUCAGUUGUUAAACUGCUGCUGUCAGUCAAUGUGAUUCCAACCAGCCAACAAUAAAAAUGUUUUGACAUGCAAUCUCGUACACACUUCAAUAAUAGUUACCUAACCGGAAUUUUCACCCAUGGAAAUAUUUCUUUUCCCGCUAGCUUAGGAUCAUGAAAAUUUUGGUGUGCUACAAGUCCUGCUGUAAAGGGCACCCUGUCAAUGACAGAGCCAGCAGAAUAGCUCCGUAAAUUGCAUUGUACAGAAGAGCUGUGUAAAAUACAACUGUUAUAUUUUAUAAUAAAAACCAGCUUAUCAUCAGGGACAGAGGGCUUUAGUGUCUAACAGAAAAUACCAUUGUGUAAUGGGAAAUGGAGGCCUCUCCCAGCUAAGCUCCAUUCAGGCUUCAGCUGGAGCAGAAACAGGGCAGUGCUCACGCUCUGGGUGACCACAGGACUAAUGCUGCCCAGCUCGUGCUUAUCCCUCACAGCGCCCAGCCCGAGCAGAGGCUGAUGCAGCGAGCGCGGCCACCACUCAUCCCAGCUCAGGAAGGCAAUGGAAAGCACAGCUUUCCUCACGGCUCCCCACCAUGCUCCUUCCUGCAGUCGUGCAGCGAUGUGGUUUCAUCUCCCAGUGGAAGAGAUCUGUGAAUGAUUUGGAGGUUCAGAGUUCAGGGGUGGUUUGGAAAAACACCCGGUGGGCUGCAGUGCCUGUGGGGGAGCGGUCUUGUUGGAUAUGUUGUCUCUGGGUAUUUCUGGCAUUUCACCUCCUGACUGAAGUCAGGAAAACUCAAAGAAAGAAAAAAAACCUAUGGAAAACUACAUGCAGACACUUCCAAAAUUGGAAACUAGUUUCCUAAUGUUUUGCCAAAAGCACAAGUUAGGUCUUGUUUUAGCCACCCAGUCCUCCUUGGACUAGAAAAUAUUCAGAACAGUUUCCUUUCAGAUAUCAGAUAAGCAGCAUAAAUAGCCACCUAAGAAUCAAAGACAUGACUAAUUCCCAUUCAUUAGAAACAGGCAACAUAAAUAACAACUUGCUCCACUGCUCAUUAAUUACGCUGGGAUGCCUCCAGUUCUGUCACAUGCAUCCAGGUCUGCUUCCAUGCUGUCUCCUUUGACUAAAUCUAUAUUGUCCUUCUGCAGGCCUACACCAAUGAGAAGAAACAGGAAAGGCUGUGGGCAUCCCACUGCCUUUGCUGUGCUGAUUCCUGGGGAAGCAGAAGAAGAAGAGCUCCAGCAGGUAAGAUGCAGCCAUCAAUUUUGCUACUACGAUAACAGUAUGUGUCUGAGGUACCAUUCCCAGAUGGCUUUCCUAGGCCCUCAGAUUUCAAAAACUGCCAGGGAGUUUUUGUAAUUCACCUCACAGUAAACGUAAACACUGCUUAAUGGAUGGCUUUAAUGCUGCCUUUCUGCUUCAAGGAUUUUUCAUUGGUCGCUGCUGCAGUGCUGGAACUUGCCCCGGGGCUGCACGCAGGCUGCCAUGCAGCCAAGGGCUUAGAAACCUGUGUCAUUUCAGUUCAUGUUGAUUAUGGUUUUUGACUGAAAUACUGUGGUAUUCUUUUUAAAGAAAGCACUGAGUCACCAAAACUAGCACUUACUUUGUAAAUGCAUUGGUUUUGAGGGGAAACUUUCUGAAGCAGAUGGAACUGCUGUAUAGAGGGGAAAAAAAAUUCUUCACUGAUUAGGGCACUCGUGUAUGGGAGCCCUACAGUCAGCAAAGAGCUGUUAUUUAUGAACUUGUCACUACACCUGCGAGGGAACGGAGCAGAGCAAGGAUUUGAACCAGACUAGUUUCCCAAUCAUUGGUUCAUGGUCUCAGUGUAUACUGAGAGUGCCAAUUUAUUUUGGAAGCCUCGCUAAAUAUUCAUGAAGUCUGGGAUAAAAUCCCCACAAGAUAGCAGUUACAGGAGCUGGAUGAGAUACAGGCUGCUCGUGCUUAAGCCCUUGAUUCAAGCUGCUUAGAGAAAUACCUCAUGUUCAAGUCCCAUCUCCCACCCAGUGAGCUUAUGUGCUGUGUUGCUCUCCAUUCAGCAUGAUAUAGAAAGACAACCCCAGAAGUCAAACUUCCUUUUUUUCCUACUCCAAUUCUGCCUACCCCAAUGUACUAGAAAUGAAUAAAAUUAGAAUUGGGCCAUACAUUUAUAUCCCCAUUUUCCCUCCAACAUCUCUUCACUGGGUAUGCCUGGUUGUAGAUUUGCUGCAGUUCAUUUCUUCAAGAUUACCCUGAAAGGAGUGAUUUUGUUUAUCUUCAAAAUGAAAGUUGGUGGGAAUGGUGGCUUCCCCGUAUUAAUUGUAUGAACAGAAAGCGGUGCUGUGAGGUCAAGAGGAAGUGCAGUGCUCAAGAUAUUACCAAACUAUGUCAUGAAAACAGAUGUGCUCUGCUGCUUCUUUCUAUGUAUGGGGAAUUUUCUCAAGAUCUUAAGAGAUGUCUACUCUGACCACAGAGGCUUUUGUCUUAUUCUUCCACUUUCCACCUUUGAGAACAGAUCAUGGUGGUUUUUUUUUGUGGGCUUUCCCCCCCCCCCCCCUCCAUGUUUUCUUUUGGUUUUCUAGCAGCCUCACAUGGGCCCAGCACUGGGAGCAGAAGCUCAGCAUCACCCACUACAGCCUCCUUUCUACAGCACUGCCAGCUGAUUCAGUCCUUGCCUCAGGUGAUCAAUUGGUGGUUCAGGCUGUGAUUCAACAGUUCCCAUGCAGUACUUUAUCCAAACACUGAACAACCGUGCUGUACCUUCGUAGCAACGUGAGGAGUUCUACACGUUGAGAGAUGACUGCCUCAACUUUCAGCUUUCAGCCCUGACUCUUCUUAAAGGUGAGUUUUUGGUUGGCAGAGAGUGAUUGUGAAAUUUAGAGCCAUAAUUUUUCUUUGGUAUGAUGGAGUUUUGUAGGUUGGUUGUAGCAGUUUUGUAAGUUGGUUUCAAAAUUGCACUUUUACUCUGCUAAUUAGGUGGUAUUGACCACCAACUUGAACUAGGUAGUGUUACAAGUAUGAUGUGUAAGUGUUGUGUCAGAGGACAAGGAAUGUUGUUGCCUGAACCACAGCUGUAAUGCUGUACCUGGCCUUGUUUACAUUGCUGAAGCUCUGUGGAGUGCAGUUCUUCUGUGGAAAAUGGAAAUGAAUGGUAUUUGCCUAUCACAAAAGAGUGCUACAGUAGGUUGUUAGCUCCACUGGAUUGUCUACGUGAAGGUGUACAGAACUGUUCAGAAAUCUCCACUAGCUACUUGGGAUUUGGACUUGCGUUUUUGUAGCUCUGCUAACUAAAUUCCAGUGUAACAAUUGCAAUAGAUUCUUCGUAUGGUUCUUCUUUUAUUUUGCUUGUUAUUGGAAAGGAACUUCUAAUCUAUGCACCAGGCUCAGCAGCAGUGCAGGCAGGAAAGGACCCGAACUUUAGAGCUUCUGUCAGUUUGGACUGGAAAUAAUUGUGCAAAGGAUUGUGAGAUUUUGCUGUCUUCAAAUGUGAAAUAUACUUGAGCAACAGUUUAUCUUUUAGUGUAACUUCAAUUCAAAUCUUAGCUUCAGAUACUAUGAUUUUGACUUUUCCUAAUAAAAAAUCCAGGUGGAAGUGACUAGAAAUAGGAAGCAAAUACCUAAUUUGCAGAAAAAUGCCUUGGCGGUAGUGAAGUGAGAGCGCCUGACAGACUGCCUCAUGGUGUUCAUUCUUACUGAGCUACAGUGAAGGCAGAUGAAGCAUAAAUUACUCAGUAAGCAAAUGCCUUGUUUUCUCUGUAACUCCACCUCUUUGGGGCAUCCUGCCCUGUCCCCACCCCUCGCACUUGUCUGCUUGUCUUAAUGGCAGUAUUCACGCAGCUGGUAAUUUAUGUGUCUGAGAGAGAAGAUUUACACAGAGCCUUCCCUUCAGUUAUUCAGAAAAUGUGAGAUACAACACGUGAUUUGUUAGGUCCCAAACUCUUAAAAGUCACGAACAUCUUAAUGGCUGGGCUCGAGCAAGAGAAGUUUUAUAUGCAAUAACUUGAGCGAGAAGCUGGUUCUGAGGUCCUCACUUUACGCCUAGUUACAAAAGUUUGUCUUCAAAAUAAAUACAAUGCCUAUUGUAACAUAAGCACACAGUAAUUUGGCUUUGGUUGAAGCAGUUCGAUGCGCUGCUCUGGCAGACAGACGGAGCUGAUCCAGUUACGGAGACCUGCUUGAUUCGGUCGGUGUCUUGUGUCAUAAACACGAAUUGUUAAUUUCAUAUUACUCAUAACAGGCGCACUGUGAAUGUUUGCAGCGUUUAUAGGAUAUCAGUUACAAAUGUGAUUAUACCAGCCAUUCCUCAGGACUGACACCAGUUUCAAAUUAGAAGCUGACAGGCCUCACCUGCUCCUGAGUUCACCGACAGGUCACCUUCUUGUCAUUUUGGCUGUCCCCCCCCUCAGAAUGACAUCUGUGUUCAUAAAGGGACAGUGAGGGACUCUAAGUUGUUAGAAUUGUUGAAGAAUAAGAAUAAGGUGUCAUCUACUCCAAUAACGUAGUACUCAACUUUGGCCUUUCAGAUGGCGUGAUGCUUGUAGCACCUGACAAUGUUUCCAGAUACAAGAAUAGCCAGAUCGGAGGGGCAGCAGUUGUUCCCUCUUCUACGCACGGAUGCUAGGCAUUCAGCCCAGUGCUAGCCACACAGUAGAGGCAACCUCAGAGUAUUCAGCAAGGGCUUUCAAAAUACCUUUACUUUUUACAUAAAGGGAUAGCACGUUAGCUUAAAUUAAAUCAUUCAGAGGAUGUUAUUACAUAGUCAGAUUUUAAAGCAACCUGUGAAAGGCAAAAGGUAAAUACUGUUAGACAUACAACUAGAUAAAAUAUAUUUGAAGCCUUUUCAAUUUGUUGGACAUCUGCAUGAAUCUCUGCGUACUGUGGGUAUAGAUGCAAACCGUGAUGUUACGUGGAAUUGUCCUAGCACUUAAAAACACAUAUUUCUUCCUUUCUAAGGAAGAUUUUUCGCAUUUGCUCGAUUGCUGUAACGCAGUUGAGAUAGGGCAGUCCAAUUACUCUGCCCAGACACUUCUCAAAACUCAGAAAAAGGGCAUCCCUCUUCCAACACAGGUUCAUAAUUAGCUUAUUUCUGUCAGUGAACGCACAGAGAUGUCAGAUCCAAACAACCUCAAACUGUUCAGAACAGAGAUUUGGGCUCCUCUGCAUUUCAAGUUUACUGAAUAAGUGCACAAACCAAUACAUGCAUGCCUCAAAUGGAACAGCUGUGCAUCUGUCUCCUUAAUGCAUGGGUUUUACAGGAAGCUAAGCAUGUGCAUACGUAUAAGCCCACUGAAGUUGCCUGCCCCAUUGCUGCUGUAUGUAGAGAGGAAGGUCUGUGGGUGAGCUCCCAGCUGUGGGCUGUGAAAGCUUUUCUCCUGGCACCUCCAGGGGCUGGACAGACUUACACUCACCUUGAGCUCAGUUGUGUGCUGGUGAGAAAAGAGCAGAGAUGUUCGUGAGAGGGUGGGAAAGGAUAAACAAGAUGUUCAAUUGCACUUUGCCAAAUGAAGGACUCAGAGCAGCCAAGGAAAAUCUUUUUUUUCUAUUUUCCUCACUAAAUUAAACCUUUAUUUUUGUCUUAGACACUGUGGCUAGCAGAACUGUGAGGACAUUCACAGUUAUAACAGUUACCAUCAUUCUCUGAAAUCUGUCCUUGAUUUUAUUUUCUGCUUCAGGAAAUAUUAUAGUAUUGUUAUUUUAUCUAUAUUAAAUAAACCUAAGGCCUGACUCUUCAUGGUGUAAACAAGCAUGACUUCAGGAAAGCAGUGCUGAAUCACGCCAUCUGUGUGUCUGAGUCUUAAUAUAAAAAGGAACAUGUUACUAGAGAGUAAACAGAAGUAAACAUUUGUUAUGGAAACUCACGUUAUCAACCCAGACACCCUCCUCCGGCGUUUAGCAGGAAAAAAACCCACCUAUGGUAGAUUUACAGAAGCCACCGCUUUUUUUUUUAAUGAUUUGGAUAUUGAUCAUUUUUAAUCUUCUUCUCAGAACAACCGGGAGAUCUAUUAUAGCUUGAGCCAGCCAUGAAAAGCAGGUCCGUUCUUUAACCUGCCCCAAUUCACUUGGACAUAUUUUAUAUCUCCAGGGAUUCAGCCACAAAGUCCAUUAGAGCAUCAGAUGCAGUGAGGUCAAAUCAAUUGUCCAUACUGCAGACAAGGUAACCAUCAUUUACUGUAAUUCUCCCCCGUCAUGGUAGAGGAGAGGAAAGGUUAAAAGCUGUAUUACCAUGAGGCUGUCUCAUCUAUCUUUCAGUAUAUUGGUAAUACCUAAACAUUGCUUAAGGAACUGAAUGCACAAUCUUAAAUCUGCGUUAGAAUGGAUUUAGAGGUUAGAUUGCCAACUUGCAAAAUUUGCGAAUGAUGAUUUCUUCAAAGAAAAGCAGAAAAAAUGAAAAUUUUAAAACAAAAAGCUUAAAAUAUAUUGUCACGUCUGACACAGCCGAUCUGAAGCUAUACUGAACGUUCAUCUCACAAUGACCCGAAUGACUGCUAUUUAUCCUUCCCUAUACAUACAUAUAUUUACCUAUGAAGUAAUUUGCUGUCAUCUCUUUAAGGUGGAGAUGCUAUGACAGUCCAAAAACAAAAGAGGAAGUAAAUUCAGGAUGUAUAUUUUUGCACUGUAAAUCAAGCCCUUAUGUGUUUGCACUCUACGAUGGGCAAUAAUAAUUGACUGAAGCAAUCACUGCUGUGGGAAAACAAACGUCCUGGCAGUGUCGCAUGUGAAGGUCAAGCCUGAUGACACAGUAAGCACCUGAACUCUCACUGACUCCUGGGGAGGCGGCCGCUGAGCACCUCCCGGAGCUCUCCUGGCAGGGACAGAUUUACGCAGCCGCCGGGCAGGGGGUGAGGAUGCUUUUUCGCUCCCACCUCCUUCCGUUGGGUCUGCAAAGUCAUUUAUUUCCAUUACAUGUUCUCUCUGGCUCCUCUGCUCGGUAUGUCAGCUGCAUGAAACCAGAGAGAAAAGGCACUUCUGUGCUUCCAGGGACUGUGCAUCCCUCCUCCUUCAAACAAUUGUGCUGGCCCCAAUUCACUUCAUGCAAGCUGGUGCAUUGUUUGCAUGCAGGGGAGCUGUGUCCACUGCACACGCGUGUGAAAGCUGUGGCACCAUGGCCCAGAUCUUGUUGGACACUGUUGAAGCAGGAAGCAAUAAACCCAGCUUUAUUCACUUGCUUAUUUGCCUUUUCUAGGUUAAUCUUUUCUCUUUCCCUGGAUUUCUUUAAUCCUGGGAUGUUUUCAUUGAGAAAGUGAUUGAAUGAAGAGGCAUUUAGAUUUUCUGUAUUAUGGAAAUGUUUUCACAGCUGUCAGAACCAGUAAUUCUGUCCUUCUGUUUCAGAAGCUAGGUUCUAAGCAAACGUACGCAUCCGUUGUUUAAAAUAGAGGCAAAGAAAUAAGGAAUAGAAAAUAGUCACUGCAGUACAAGUGUGUAUUUCUGAGGCUGACGUAUAUUCUGACAUACGUUCACGGUAACUGUAUUGGGAGACAAUGGAUGAACGCAGUGGGAGUGUAAGAGCUGAUGAUGUACGUUACAGAUAAUAAAUAUUUUUGUACGGAAGCUUAUUUGUAAAACUUAGAGUUUAACACUCAGCACAAUAAAUUCCACUUUCAGGUAAUGUGGGCAUUCAAUAACCAUAAAAAGGAACCGGUAAAAGUUUUGUGUGCGCUGAAGGAGAGAGAAAUGUGCUUUAGAUUAGGUGUUACAUACCUUUCACUUAGCUGCUUUUCCUCCUCUGUUUCCUCUUUUCAUGAUUUUCUUUAUUAUUACCUACUCUCUGGGCUCCUUUUCCUCAGUCUGUGUUGCCCAUCACCUCUGAAUUCAUCCCUAUGAAUGUUUAUGCACAGGUCUUUCACAACAGUGCAGACUGGCAUUGUGCUAUAAAAUAAAAAUAGCAUUCAAUUAUAAAUUGUAUAUAAAAUGUAGAUCUUUGCAAAGGUAAUUUCCAGAACAGCAUCUUUUAAAAUUUAAUUUAGACAUAACUAUUACGAAAUAAGUAAGGCAAAUGUAAAGCUGAGUGAGAAGUUCAUCCCAGAAUCUGGAAGGAAGCAAAA
ensembl:lncRNA